rnacentral:tRNA from 1 species
GCCCGGCUACCUCAGUGGGUAGAGCAUGGGACUCUUAAUCUCUGUGUCAUGGGUUUGAGUCCCACAUUGGGCG